rnacentral:tRNA from 1 species
GCCCCGGUAGCUCAGUGGAGAGAGCGCCCGCCUCCUAAGCGGUCGGCCGCUGGUUCGAGUCCAGUCCGGGGCACCA